UCCGCUGUAGCACAAAUUGAAUUGGAAUUUGAUUAAUCCGGGUUCGAAUCCCGGCAGCGGAA
rnacentral:tRNA from 1 species